rnacentral:rRNA from 1 species
GUAAUGCCGGAUGCUCCGACUCCUCGCAUGGGGUGUCGGGAAAGAUUUCAUCGGUAUGGGAUGGGGUCGCGUCCUAUCAGGUAGUCGGCGGGGUAACGGCCCACCGAGCCUACGACGGGUAGCCGGCCUGAGAGGGCGACCGGCCACAUUGGGACUGAGAUACGGCCCAGACUCCUACGGGAGGCAGCAGUGGGGAAUAUUGCACAAUGGGCGCAAGCCUGAUGCAGCGACGCCGCGUGCGGGAUGACGGCCUUCGGGUUGUAAACCGCUUUUGAUCGGGAGCAAGCCUUCGGGUGAGUGUACCUUUCGAAUAAGCACCGGCUAACUACGUGCCAGCAGCCGCGGUAAUACGUAGGGUGCAAGCGUUAUCCGGAAUUAUUGGGCGUAAAGGGCUCGUAGGCGGUUCGUCGCGUCCGGUGUGAAAGUCCAUCGCUUAACGGUGGAUCUGCGCCGGGUACGGGCGGGCUGGAGUGCGGUAGGGGAGACUGGAAUUCCCGGUGUAACGGUGGAAUGUGUAGAUAUCGGAAAAGAACACC